rnacentral:rRNA from 1 species
GAGUUGAUCCUGGCUCAGGAUGAACGCUAGCGGCAGGCCUAACACAUGCAAGUCGAGGGGUAACAGGAAAGCUUGCUUUGCUGACGACCGGCGCACGGGUGCGUAACGCGUAUGCAACCUACCUCAUACUGGAGCUUAGCCCUUGGAAACGAGGAUUAAUACUCCAUGGUAUCAUGAAUUCGCAUGUUUUCAUGAUUAAAGAAUUUCGGUAUGAGAUGGGCAUGCGUCCCAUUAGCUAGUUGGUGAGGUAACGGCUCACCAAGGCGACGAUGGGUAGGGGGCCUGAGAGGGUGGUCCCCCACACUGGUACUGAGACACGGACCAGACUCCUACGGGAGGCAGCAGUGAGGAAUAUUGGUCAAUGGAGGCAACUCUGAACCAGCCAUGCCGCGUGAAGGAUGACGGCCCUAUGGGUUGUAAACUUCUUUUAUAUGGGAAGAAACUUAUCUACGUGUAGAUAACUGACGGUACCAUACGAAUAAGGAUCGGCUAACUCCGUGCCAGCAGCCGCGGUAAUACGGAGGAUCCAAGCGUUAUCCGGAUUCAUUGGGUUUAAAGGGUCCGUAGGCGGAUUUUUAAGUCAGUGGUGAAAGCCGACAGCUCAACUGUCGAACUG